UACGUAGGUGGCAAGCGUUGUCCGGAUUUACUGGGCGUAAAGAGCGCGCAGGCGGUCGUGCAAGUCGCGUGUGAAAGCCCCCGGCUCAACUGGGGAGGGUCACGCGAUACUGCUCGACUUGAAGGCAGGAGAGGGAAGUGGAAUUCCCGGUGUAGUGGUGAAAUGCGUAGAUAUCGGGAAGAACACCCGUGGCGAAGGCGGCUCUCUGGGACGGUACUGACGCUGAGACGCGAAAGCGUGGGGAGCGAACAGG
rnacentral:rRNA from 1 species